CGAAUCUCUAUUUUUCGGGAGCUGCCACAGCCAUCGGGGUUUGAGCUGAGAACCUGGAUCCUUCCUCGCUGAAACACUGCCCUACCUGUCGAAUUUAAGGCAGGGAUGUGUUUUUACCAGUAAAAGAAACUGCUUCAAAAUAUUUUGUAUUUUACCUAGACUACAUUUCACAAUAUAGGCUCACAUCUGGAUUCGUCACUGCACAGGCUGAAUACGACAGACAUAUCAUGAUGAAAUUUGCCUAAUGCUCGUCAGACGGUUUCCUCUCUCACUUUGAUACAUUCAUUGUAGCUUAGAGUGGAAACUAAUUUACAUUCCGACAACCACAGAUUGGUGAUGGCUUUCGAGGUUUAGAAGCUGGCGAAAUCAGAUUUACAAGUACAGGGGAAAGAGUAAAGGCCGAGAGGGGCUCAGACGUGGCUUUCUUCACAGCAGACACAAUACCUUGAACGACACAAAAGCUUUAAAAUCAAAUACUGUCAUAAAGUCAAAUACCAAGGGGUCUACUGCUUCCUGAACAACAGGGUGUUGGUGUCUCAGGGGGACAGGGAUCUGGAAACAAGUAGAUAGGGAGCAGGAGAUAUAGGAGCUACAGGGGCCACGGUGUCUAUCUGGUCCUCUGUUUCCCUGUGAGGCUGUCUUUGUGUCAGGGAUCGAGAGGUGGACACACAUACAGCCAAGGACUGGCUAACAGCAGGACUAAACCACUCUGAAGGGCACUGGAGGGCCACUGGGCAGAAGGUUGGCAUCUGGCUGGAAGAGAGCGGGCACUGUGGUGGGCAGGCGACCGCAGCAUCGAGAUUACAGAUUAGGCAGAACAGCAGGUCAGGGCACAUUAUCCUGACACAAUCUGUACUUCCACCAACACCACACCGCAGAAUUCAAUUAAACCCUACUGCUCCUGCUACUGGCAGGAAGUGGUCCAGCCUCACACACAUACACAUAUACACAAAUAAUCUCCACUGCUGGACAGCUACUGAGCCCCCUCGCUUCUCUGCUGUCCUGUUUGACGAUCAGUGCCAGAUGGAGUGAUGGGAUUUUUUUAUUUUGAUUGGUUUAUCUUUUUUUCAAUCCAGUCACUCAUUGCCUCACGGUUCCUUGGAGAUCAUUAAUUGGUAAGCUGUUUUAAGGUCACCAUAUCUACUUUUCUUAAGAUUCUGGGUCAGUCCCCUUUGUUAUUAUGGUCAGAAUGCUUUGAUUACUUUCGGGGUUUUACUGUAUUACUGUAUUCUGAAAACCACUGGAAUUUAGACAGAGAACCUGGACCCAGGGCAUUAGAAGGGCUGGUAGAUGCUCAGUCUGCCAACACAGGGACACACACCACUCACCGCCUCAAUGAGAACUAGACUGCAGGGCUCCAGACCCUAUGUUUCAGAGCUGAACCCAAGGUCCUGAGUAGCUCUGCUACUCUGAGAUGACACUAAUGCCUCAGUACCUGACUUUUACCAUGGAUAUCACUGUAGGUGGAUACGACUGCUAACCAAGGUUAACGGAGCGUGAUAGGCUCUGACAGGUUCUCAGACUAACAGUGUACAAUUUGUGUUGAGUUCGUCAGUUUUUAUGUGCAGACACUCUGCUGGAGCUCCCAUCCAGGACUUGAGCAGUGCUGUGUGUGGAAAGUCGGGGCUGGGUGGAAGGUGUGAAGAGCGGCAGCAACGUGUGGAGAGACAGAGAGUGAAGGGAGCAACACACAACUCUGGGAGAAACUGUUUAGUGUGAGACACUGGGAGACACACUGUGGUGCAGCGGCUCUCCCUCUCUCUGUUUGACGGACUGGAAGAGUGUUCUCUCUGAGCCAGCGUGAGCCAGCCUGCACGCUGAGUGGAGCUGAGGCCAGUAGGGUGGGGACAGUGGCAGGGAGCGGUGCAUGGCAGUGGGGGGGCCGGGUGCCGUCUGUCACCCAGCACCGGGA